rnacentral:rRNA from 1 species
UACAGAGGGUGCGAGCGUUAAUCGGAAUUACUGGGCGUAAAGCGCGCGUAGGCGGCUUUGCAAGUCGGGUGUGAAAUCCCCAGGCUUAACCUGGGAACUGCAUUCGAGACUGCAUUGCUAGAGUAUGGGAGAGGGAAGUGGAAUUUCCGGUGUAGCGGUGAAAUGCGUAGAUAUCGGAAGGAACAUCGGUGGCGAAAGCGCUCUGCUGGACUGCAACUGACACUAAAGGACGAAAGCUAGGGGAGCGAAUGGG